AUGGACGCCAUCCGGAAGCAGCUCGACCAGCUCAUGGGCGCCAACCGCAAUGGCGACGUCCGGGAGGUCAGCCGCAAGUACUACGACCGCGACGUCUGCCGCCUCUUCCUCGCCGGCCUAUGCCCCCACGACCUCUUCCAGCUCACCAAGAUGGACAUGGGUCCGUGCCCUAAGCUGCAUUCCUUGCAGCUCCGCAAGGAAUACGAGGAGGCCAAAGCCAAAGGUAUGGACAACUAUGAUCGUGAAUUGGAAGAAACUAUAGAAAGACUGAUAGUUGAGUGCGAGAGAAAGAUUCAAAGAGCCCUUAAGCGUUUGGAGGAGGAAGACGCCAAGGCAGCUAUUGCAAUUUCUAUCACUGAGGUUACACAGAGUAAAGAGGUACUCGAGUUCUCCAAACAAAUUAAGGAGAAGAUGAAGGAGAUAGACACUUUUGACUUUGAUGGAAACACUGAGGGCAAAAUUCGGGCUACUGAAGAGGUUGAUAAACUCAAGGAACAGAGAGCUGAAGAGCAGGCAAAGCUGCUCCUUGAAGCCUUUAAUAAGGACCGUGUUUUGCUAGUGAAUUCUCUCCAAACUGCUACGCAAUCAACAGCACCUGCUGCUCCAGAUGCUCGUACACAAGAAAUGAUUAAUGAAAAGCUCAAAAAAGCAGAGGAACUAGGUGAGAGUGGGAUGAUUGAUGAAGCACAAAAACUGUUGGAUGAAGCAGAAGCUCUGAAGAAGCUGGGUGCGCGGCCACAGCCUGUUCCUGACUCUGCAAAAAUAUCCACUCACGUUCAAAUUACUGAUCAAAAGUUGCGCCUGUGUGACAUAUGUGGAGCAUUCUUGAGCGUGUAUGACAGUGACCGGCGUUUAGCAGAUCAUUUCGGAGGGAAACUCCAUAUGGGUUAUAUGCUAAUACGGGAGAAGUUGUCUGAACUGCAGGAAGAGAAAAACAAAAGGCGCAAGGUGGACCGAACUGAACAUGACAGAAGAUCCAAGGAAAGGAGCACAGAAUGUGAUAGAGCAUCAAGCAGGGACCGUCAUAGAGGAGAUCGAAGCAGCAGUCGUGACAGGCACAGGGAUUAUGACCGUAGAAGUAGCCAUGAUCGCUACCAUGACAGAGAAAGUAGAUAUGGCCAUGAUAAAGAAUCAGGGAGAUCUCGUAGCUAUGAUUCGAGGAGCCGCCGAAGGUCACGUUCCCCAAGGGAUAGUUCUAGGGACUAUGACCGACACGGGCGUCGUGACCGUUGA
rnacentral:rRNA from 1 species